rnacentral:pre_miRNA from 1 species
UCCAUCUUAACUCCGGAUCUAUCAAGUGUCGAGAGGGAUCAAAUCUCUAGAGGUGCAAACCUUUAACCUUUCCUCAAGCUAGAGGUGCAAACCUUUAACCUUUCCUCAAGUUUUGCACUCUAAAAAGGUUGGUACCUCUAGAUAUUUGAUCCCUCUUGGCGCUUGAUAGAUCCGAAUUUAAGAUGGA